GUACGGGAGGCAGCAGUGGGGAAUAUUGGACAAUGGGCGCAAGCCUGAUCCAGCCAUGCCGCGUGAGUGAUGAAGGCCCUAGGGUUGUAAAGCUCUUUCGCCAGGGACGAUAAUGACGGUACCUGGAUAAGAAGCCCCGGCUAACUUCGUGCCAGCAGCCGCGGUAAUACGAAGGGGGCUAGCGUUGUUCGGAAUCACUGGGCGUAAAGCGCACGUAGGCGGAUCUUUAAGUCAGGGGUGAAAUCCCGAGGCUCAACCUCGGAACUGCCUUUGAUACUGGAGGUCUCGAGUCCGGGAGAGGUGAGUGGAACUGCGAGUGUAGAGGUGAAAUUCGUAGAUAUUCGCAAGAACACCAGUGGCGAAGGCGGCUCACUGGCCCGGAACUGACGCUGAGGUGCGAAAGCGUGGGGAGCAAACAGGAUUAGAUACCCGGGUAGUCCC
rnacentral:rRNA from 1 species